rnacentral:tRNA from 1 species
GGAGAGGUGCGAGAGUGGCCUAUCCGGCGCGCCUGGAGAGCGCGUGUACCGCAAGGUACCGUGGGUUCGAAUCCCACCCUCUCCG